rnacentral:rRNA from 1 species
UACGAACGGUCCAAACGUUAUUCGGAAUCACUGGGCUUAAAGCGUCCGUAGGCGGCUCGGAAAGUAGGGUGUGAAAUCCCACGGCUCAACCGUGGAACUGCUGGGCAUACUGGACAUCUCGAGGCACUCAGGGGCGAGCGGAACAAGUGGUGGAGCGGUGAAAUGCGUAGAUAUCGCUUGGAACGCCAAUGGUGAAGACAGCUCGCUGGGGGUGUCCUGACGCUGAGGCGCGAAAGCCAGGGGAGCGAACGGG